GAGACAUACUUAUGGCAGAUAGCAUGUGGAUUAAAUGGCUUGGGAUUCAGACUGAGAAAUGCUUAUUAGCAGCCUGUCAUUAUGUGGAAGCUUCUCGGAAAACCGGCCACCAAGGGAAACAUUUAUUGUGUGAAGACAGCAGCAGGAGCAGCAGAUCCCCUCCUCACCCGCUCGCUGUGCGUGUGUUUGUGUUUUCCCCUAAGUGCCUCACUGCCCCUCCACUUUGCUGAUGACUAGCUGUGUUCCAGCAGGCUGAUCAAUACGGCUCUUAUCCUCUCAGCCUGCAAUGUACCAAAGCCCACCUGAGAGCCAAGGAGUGCGUGAAGGAGGGAGAGAGAAGAGAGACAGACAGUGAGAGAGGAGAAAAAGAGAGAGAGAGAAAGAGAGAGAGGCCUGGGGUUUUAGGUAGGUAAUGUAUUAUUGAAGAGUGAAUCUUGCUGAGCACAUUCAGGGUUUGUAUUAAAAUAGUCCAUAUUGCUGUAGUAACCAGAAAAGUAAGAGGCGCACAAAAAUACUGAGCCCAGCUCGAUUUUUCUUCCUCUCAGCUACAGCCUGGUGUAACUCAACACCUCAGCUCACUUGCUAAACCACUCUUUUAAUUAAAACUGCCACGUUACACCAGCUUGUGUGUGUGUGUGUGUGCAUUGCCUUAGUUUAUGUAGAGCUUUCUUACAAAAGCCAAUUUAAAAAUUCUUCUCAAAGACCUUUCUUACAACAGACAAUUCAUAGGAAUUGAAACAAAUAAUCAAACAAAUUGAAACAAAUAAUCAGACAUGGACAUGAUGUUAUUUUUCAAACCUUUGUAAAAAACACCCCUAAGAUUUAUGAGCAGUUAAGCUAUGAUAUUAAGUGAUGGAUUUGAUGUUAUUUCAGGGAUCAGGAAUUAUAACAGUGCCUACACUGGGCAUUUUGCACUGUAUUUACAUUCAGCAUAGUGUAUAAAUAGUACUCAGUUUGUGCUGGAACAGGAUCCGGCACCUCUCACAGAUUUGAAGUGCCUGGAAUUAUUUUGAAUUAAAUAAAGUAAUAAUGCAAUCA